rnacentral:rRNA from 1 species
CCUACGGGUGGCUGCAGUGGGGAAUAUUGGACAAUGGGGGGAACCCUGAUCCAGCCAUGCCGCGUGUGUGAAGAAGGCCCUCGGGUUGUAAAGCACUUUCAGUGAGGAAGAACGCCUGGUGGUGAAUACCCAUCAGGAAAGACAUCACUCACAGAAGAAGCACCGGCUAACUCCGUGCCAGCAGCCGCGGUAAUACGGAGGGUGCGAGCGUUAAUCGGAAUUACUGGGCGUAAAGCGCGCGUAGGUGGCUUGAUAAGCCGGUUGUGAAAGCCCCGGGCUCAACCUGGGAACGGCAUCCGGAACUGUCAAGCUAGAGUGCAGGAGAGGAAGGUAGAAUUCCCGGUGUAGCGGUGAAAUGCGUAGAGAUCGGGAGGAAUACCAGUGGCGAAGGCGGCCUUCUGGACUGACACUGACACUGAGGUGCGAAAGCGUGGGUAGCAAACAGGAUUAGAUACCCUAGUAGUC